AAAGAACCAGGUUUACAGGUAAAUAACCUGUUCUUCUUUAACGUGGUUCACACACACACAACACACACAAACGACAAAGAGCCGAUUCCCUACUUUCUCUGGAACUUACAGUCCCAAGGAAAAAAAAAUAACAUUUUUGGGCACUACCUCCUGCAAAACUAUUGUUCCCACUGGCCAUGCGCUGCUGGUCCAGAGCGACCUUGCUGCGCAUGCUGGAGGUUCCAGGGCACAGCGGCAGCCGCGGUCUGCUGUCAAAAGGGCAGCUGCUGAUGCUGCAGAAGUAGUGAGGAGGCCCCUGCAAAACAAAUCCAGGGGGGCCAUUUCCCCCCCCAUCUGCCGUCCGGUCUGCGUGCAACGUCCUUGCUGGUCAGAAGGCAAAUGCACCGUUUCCUGCGAGUGUUUUCCUCCUCCAGCAGCAGAGGAUUGCAAUUGCCUUGCGCACAAGCACACACCUUGGCGAGAGGCGAAGCCCAAGGCCUGGGCAGCCCUCUUGGUUGCCAUAUGCUGUGGGUGGCGUGUUCAGGGCGGCCGUGGGUGUCCUGGGAAGGGGGGGGCACUUAAAGACGUUCAGUCUCCUGGCAGCGAGGCCAGGAUCGGAAGUGGUCCCCCAGGCCGUUUCAGCGAUCCCCCCCCCCCCAGCCAGGCUGCUCACGGGAGUCCAAACGUACAGGUAGCUGGACUGAUCCAGUAUACCAAUACACCAGUUCUAGCCAAUCCCAUCUCCAACAGAACCAGAUAUUUUGUAAGGGGUCUUGUGUACCAGACAAAGCCCCCCCAAUCCAUUGCAUUGCAUUUUCUUUGUUUUUUGUGUGUGCUGUUGAUCCCUUUCUGACUUCUGCUAUAAAUUAAUGAAUUAACAGCCCUUGUUAGCACGAGGCCAUGGCUUCCUUCAAGGAAUCAAUCCAUCUCACAUUUCAGUCGUCCUCUUUUCCUGCUCUUCAACGUGCUGAAAAAAACUCACCCCCAACAGCUGCCUCUUCCUCUCACCUCAGAGGGAACCAGGAAGCCUCGAAAGGAGUGGGUGAGAAACCAUUCACGUCACUUCAAAACAAAACAAAACAAAAAAAACAGCUACU
rnacentral:lncRNA from 1 species